CAAGGUUUCCGUAGGUGAACCUGCGGAAGGAUCAUUAUCGAGUUUUGACUGGGUUGUAGCUGGCCUUCCGAGGCAUGUGCACGCCCUGCUCAUCCACUCUACACCUGUGCACUUACUGUGGGCUUCAGAUCGUAAAACGGGUCCCUUUACCGGGCUUGCGGAGCGUGUCUGUGCCUGCGUUUAUCACAAACUCUAUAAAGUAUCAGAAUGUGUAUUGCGAUGUAACGCAUCUAUAUACAACUUUCAGCAACGGAUCUCUUGGCUCUCGCAUCGAUGAAGAACGCAGCGAAAUGCGAUAAGUAAUGUGAAUUGCAGAAUUCAGUGAAUCAUCGAAUCUUUGAACGCACCUUGCGCUCCUUGGUAUUCCGAGGAGCAUGCCUGUUUGAGUGUCAUGAAAUCUUCAACCUGCAAGCUUUUGUGGUUUGUAGGCUUGGACUUGGAGGCUUGUCGGCCGUUCUUGGUCGGCUCCUCUUAAAUGCAUUAGCUUGGUUCCUUGCGGAUCGGCUCUCAGUGUGAUAAUGUCUACGCUGCGACCGUGAAGCGUUUGGCGAGCUUCUAACCGUCUUAGUUGGAGACAACUUUAUGACCUCUGACCUCAAAUCAGGUAGGACUACCCGCUGAACUUAAGCAUAUCAAUAAGCGGAGGAAAAGAAAACUAACAACAGGAUUCCCCUAGUAACUGCGAGUGAAAGCGGGAAA
rnacentral:rRNA from 1 species